rnacentral:tRNA from 2 species
GGAGAGGUCGCAUAGUUGGCCUAGUGCGCUCGCUUGGAAAGCGAGUAUGGCGUGAGCCAUCGUGGGUUCGAAUCCCACCCUCUCCG